rnacentral:piRNA from 1 species
UAUCUGAUAAGAAAGGAAAUUAACCCAAGCC